ACCCUGCAGAAUCUCUCUGUCUGUCUCCUUCUCUGUCUCUGUCUCUGUCUCUCUCUCAUCCCAAUUGCCUGAGCAAACUCUCUUCUUCAAUCACCUCCUGUUGCCCAUCAGGUGCUGCAGAGAAGACACUCGUCUGUCCCAAGGAGCCUGUUACACCCAGAGGCGCUAACAGUCAAUCUAAGACAGCAUCUCAGCACAGCUCUGGCUGUCCUGGGGUACGCUGUGGGGAGCAGACAGCUUCAAACUCACAGAGAUCUUCCUGCCUCUGCUGCUGUUCUGGGAUUAAAGGCUUGGUUCAGAAAUAGGCUUGUGAUCUGUCAGCUGAAGGAGCGUCGCCCUUGGAACCUCAGCCGGACGCAUCCGGAAAUAAGCAGUCGAGUGGUGAUGUCCAUCCUUGUCACAUCUUGGAGACAGCUGCUGAGGAGGAGGAAGAGUACAAACCAAGUGCAGUUUCCCAACUGAGAAAGCAAAUAAAUGACCUUUUAUGCUGAA